UACAGCAUAUGCUGUAUGCAGGUCUAGAAUUUUCUCUUUUUUUUAUGGACAUUCUGUAAAUAUAUUUACAAUCCAUAAAUCUGAAGAUUUUUCAGUAUAAAUUUAUAGACUGGUUGUAUGAGAUCUGUUAAAAUUACAAUUUAAAUCAUAACUGCAAGUUAAAAUGAAAUUUUUCACUCAUUACAAUGUAGAUUAAAAACAUAGAAAUUAUUUCAUACAGAUGGAUCACUUUAUUUUUUUCACAUUUUCCAAAAUUCAAAGUUGUCAAUAUUGACAGAAAAUCACACAAAAAUACCCCUUCUUAUGCAUUCUAAGUUUAACCCUGCAGUUUUGACCAAUUUUUAGAAGGAUAAUAUGCCCCCUGCCCCCCACCCUACCCCCGCCCGAUCAUACCUGGGACCUACGCUUAAGCAAAUUAUGUAUUUAUGAGGGUACAUCAGAAAUACUGAUGACCUGAACUUCAAACUUCUGAAAAAUAAGCUUGUUUCUUGAAAUAAAUUAGGUUAGAUCUAUUUUAGUGUCAAUAUUUUGUUGUUGUUGUUGUUGUUGUAGUAUUUCAUUAUGUAAAGCUGAUUUCGUAGCGAUAGGUUCGAAUCUAUAUUUUGCCAUUAUAAUUUCGUUUAUUUCAAUUUAAGUUGUCGAAUAUACUGUAACAUCAUUGAACAUAAAUAUUUUUUCGUAAAUUUACUUCGAGUAUCUCCUUCUUAAAAAGAAACGUUGAUUCGGAUGUAGGCCUACUGACACCUGAAUAUCUGCAUGCGCGCCGAAUGUUUACUAAGUCCGUUAGUAUUUUUGGUGUCUCUCGGCGAUACUGUUACACAUUAGAACAACUGAAUAAAAUCUCCUUUCAGUUAACUAUCGAUAUAUCUGGUGUUUUACGUAAGACUGAGUCCCAAUAUUAUUGCGCAUUCGGUAGCAAAGAUGUUGACACCACAUGUCGUCUGAUGAUGACUUUUACGGAUCGAAUAAGGUUUGGUCAUUGUAUUCCCUGAAAGGAAUGAGAGGAGAAAAGGAACUGGAAGACCUGGCUAUCUGCAGGCCAAUGCUGGCUGCAGGUCAAUAUUGAAUGCUCUUAUGAAAACUCAUAAGACAAUAACAAAAAAAAAAAGAAGCUGAGGAUGCUGUUUUUAAAACAUGCUCCAUUCAAAAAAGGUGGAUUGAAAUUUAAGAAAGGUGUGACGGUUGCGUCUGCUGCAGGCAGGGAGGAUUUGACGGUCAGCCAGAGGAUUUGGAGAUAUACUGUAAUGUCUUUAAUGUGGACUUGCGUGUGAUUUAAGUUUUCACAAGGGUUUUAGUGUGUGUGAAAGUAUGUCAGUUUUCAAAAUUGAGCUAUGUCAAUUUGCUCAAACUACAUAACUCAAAGAACUUUGAAGCGGUCUUGUUGACGUCAUGAGCU